rnacentral:hammerhead_ribozyme from 1 species
GCACUGCUGAGGAGUCCCAAAAUAGGACGAAACGGCCGUCCAGUAC